AUGAACUGGGAGGGAACUGGGAUGAACUGGGAGGGAACUGGGAUGAACUGGGAGCGCUGGUGCCUCUCACUGCAGUCCCUUACUGGUCCCACUGGUGACACUGGUCUGUCUUACUGGUGUCACUGGUGUCCCUUACUGGUGUCACUGGUCCCUCACCGGUACCACCAGUUCAUCCCAGUUCAUCCCAGUUCCCUCCCAGUUCAUCCCAGUCCAUCCCAGUCCCUCCCAGUCCAUCCCAGUUUAUCCCAGUCCCUCCCAGUUCCAUCCCAGUUUAUCCCAGUUUAUCCCAGUUUGUCCCAGUUCCCCCCCAGUCCCAUCCCAGUCCAUCCCAGUUUGUCCCAGUCUGUCCCAGUUCCAUCCCAGUGUAACUCCAGACCCUCCCAGUCCCCGCCAGUCCCCCCCAGUCCAUCCCAGUCCAUCCCAGUUUGUCCCAGUUCCCCCCCAGUUCCAUCCCAGUCCAUCCCAGUCCAUCCCAGUUUGUCCCAGUUCCCCCCCAGUCCAUCCCAGUUUAUCCCAGUUCCAUCCCAGUCCAUCCCAGUUUUCGCCCCUCCCCCCCCCGACACAAACGGGGCCGGAAAUGGAAAAAAAGAGAAUUUUAAUCACGGGGGGGGAGGGGAGGGAAAGGGGGCAGGUCCUGGCAGGGCCAUGGGAAGGUUCUGGAAGGUCCUGGCAGGGCCAUGGGGAGCUGGGACAGGUCCUGGCAGGGUCAUGAGCUGCACCCCCGGGUCCUGGCAGGGCCAUAGAAAGGUCCUGGCAGGGCCGUGGGAAGGUUCUGGAAGGUCCUGGCAGGGCCAUGAGCAGGGCCAGGGUCAUGAGCAGCGACCUCAGGUCCUGGCAGGGCCAUGGAGAAGUCCCAGCAGGUCCUGGCAGGGUCAUGGCAGAGCCCCCAGGUCCUGGUAGGGUCGUGGGCAUCACCCCCAGGUCCCAGCAGGUCCUGGCAGGGCCACAGCGAG
rnacentral:lncRNA from 1 species